AUUGAACGCUAACGGCGUGCUUAACACAUGCAAGUCGAGCGGCAGCAUGACUGUAGCAAUACAGUUGAUGGCGAGCGGCGGACGGGUGAGUAAUGCAUAGGAAUCUGCCUUGUAGUGGGGGAUAACCCGGGGAAACUCGGGCUAAUACCGCAUAAUCUCUACGGAGCAAAGCGGGGGACCCUCGGGCCCUACGCUAAAAGAUGAGCCGAUGUUGGAUUAGCUAGUUGGUAGGGUAAAAGCCUACCAAGGCAACGAUCCAUAGCUGGUCUGAGAGGAUGAUCAGCCCAACUGGGACUGAGACACGGCCCAGACUCCGACGGGAGGCAGCAGUGGGGAAUAUUGGACAAUGGGCGAAAGCCUGAUCCAGCAACGCCGUGUGUGUGAAGAAGGCCUUCGGGUUGUAAAGCACUUUUAGUGGGAAAGAAAAGUUCAUGGCUAAUAUCCAUGAAUGCUGACGUUACCCACAGAAAAAGCACUGGCUAACUCUGUGCCAGCAGCCGCCGUAA
rnacentral:rRNA from 1 species